AGAGUUUGAUCCUGGCUCAGAGCGAACGCUGGCGGCACGCCUAACACAUGCAAGUCGAGCGAGAAAGUGACUUCGGUUGCGAGUAAAGCGGCGAACGGGUGAGUACAACGUGGAUAAUCUACCCUAGGGUCUGGGACAACCCCGAGAAAUCGGAGCUAAUACCGGAUAAGACCACAGUAUCCAAGGAUACAGUGGUAAAAGAUUUAUCGCCUUUGGAUGAGUCCACGUCCCAUCAGGUAGUUGGUAAGGUAAAAGCUUACCAAGCCUAAGACGGGUAGCCGGCCUUAGCGGGUGAACGGCCACAUGGGGACUGAGACACGGCCCUGACUCCUACGGGAGGCAGCAGUGGGGAAUAUUGGGCAAUGGGCGAAAGCCUGACCCAGCGAUGCCGCGUGAGGGAUGAAGGCCUUCGGGUUGUAAACCUCUGUCAGGAGGGACGAUGGGACACUUGUGUCUUGACGGUACCUCCAGAGGAAGCCCCGGCUAACUCCGUGCCAGCAGCCGCGGUAAUACGGAGGGGGCAAGCGUUGCUCGGAAUUACUGGGCGUAAAGGGUCCGCAGGCUGUCAGGCAAGUUGGUUGUGAAAGCUCAAGGCUUAACCUUGGAAUUGCAUCCAAAACUGCCUGACUAGAGUCCAAGAGAGGUUGGCGGAAUUCCCGGUGUAGCGGUGAAAUGCAUAGAUAUCGGGAGGAACACCAGAGGCGAAGGCGGCCAACUGGCUUGGAACUGACGCUCAGGGACGAAAGCGUGGGUAGCAAACCGGAUUAGAUACCCGGGUAGUCCACGCCCUAAACGAUGGAUGCUAGGUAGGGGGAAUUUAUUUCUCCCUGCCGUAGUUAACGCAUUAAGCAUCCCGCCUGGGGAGUACGGUCGCAAGGCUGAAACUCAAAGGAAAAUCACUAAUUGCG
rnacentral:rRNA from 1 species